AGAUCAACUUGGAAUUCAGCAACACACACGAGGAUUUCCCAAGGAAGAGACACUGAGUGUCCCGCUGGCUCCCACAGUGGUCCAAACCAGCCGAGGCUCUGCCUGAGAUCGGACCACGCUUUCACUGUCCGGUAAGAGCCCUGUGACAAAAGGCCAUUUUAAAAUGUCCACAAAAUGUCCUUUACAAGUUUCGUGCUCCUCCAUUUGAUUUUUGAAAAGGUCAGCCCAGAGAAUGUGCUUUAAGAUAAUCAAAGAGUAAAACUUUUAAUCUUUGUUCUGCUCCCCCACUCAAAUAUCAUGGCAUAAGACAGAGUGGGACAAAAUGUCACAAGUACACCCAGGACAUGAAAAUAUAUAUAUAUUUAUAUAUAAAAUGUCUUAUUUAAUCAGAUAUGUACACUUUUCACAAGACGUCUGGGGAAUGAGGUUCUCAGAAACGAAGCACAGCUUCACUGGGUUGCACCCAGGUAUUCUCAAAAAAGGGAGGAGAAAAAAAAAAAAAA